rnacentral:ribozyme from 1 species
UGCCCAGCAACUCCUAUCCCUACCUCCGCGUGGUAUAGACUGGAAACUACGAGCAACCUUAGGAAAGAUCGGGUAACCAACCCCGAUGGGAACUUUGGUCGUAGGCUGACAGGGAAGG